rnacentral:rRNA from 1 species
AAAUUGAAGAGUUUGAUCAUGGCUCAGAUUGAACGCUGGCGGCAGGCCUAACACAUGCAAGUCGAACGGUAACAGGAAGAAGCUUGCUUCUUUGCUGACGAGUGGCGGACGGGUGAGUAAUGUCUGGGAAACUGCCUGAUGGAGGGGGAUAACUACUGGAAACGGUAGCUAAUACCGCAUAAUGUCGCAAGACCAAAGAGGGGGACCUUCGGGCCUCUUGCCAUCGGAUGUGCCCAGAUGGGAUUAGCUAGUAGGUGGGGUAAAGGCUCACCUAGGCGACGAUCCCUAGCUGGUCUGAGAGGAUGACCAGCCACACUGGAACUGAGACACGGUCCAGACUCCUACGGGAGGCAGCAGUGGGGAAUAUUGCACAAUGGGCGCAAGCCUGAUGCAGCCAUGCCGCGUGUAUGAAGAAGGCCUUCGGGUUGUAAAGUACUUUCAGCGGGGAGGAAGGGAGUAAAGUUAAUACCUUUGCUCAUUGACGUUACCCGCAGAAGAAGCACCGGCUAACUCCGUGCCAGCAGCCGCGGUAAUACGGAGGGUGCAAGCGUUAAUCGGAAUUACUGGGCGUAAAGCGCACGCAGGCGGUUUGUUAAGUCAGAUGUGAAAUCCCCGGGCUCAACCUGGGAACUGCAUCUGAUACUGGCAAGCUUGAGUCUCGUAGAGGGGGGUAGAAUUCCAGGUGUAGCGGUGAAAUGCGUAGAGAUCUGGAGGAAUACCGGUGGCGAAGGCGGCCCCCUGGACGAAGACUGACGCUCAGGUGCGAAAGCGUGGGGAGCAAACAGGAUUAGAUACCCUGGUAGUCCACGCCGUAAACGAUGUCGACUUGGAGGUUGUGCCCUUGAGGCGUGGCUUCCGGAGCUAACGCGUUAAGUCGACCGCCUGGGGAGUACGGCCGCAAGGUUAAAACUCAAAUGAAUUGACGGGGGCCCGCACAAGCGGUGGAGCAUGUGGUUUAAUUCGAUGCAACGCGAAGAACCUUACCUGGUCUUGACAUCCACAGAACUUUCCAGAGAUGGAUUGGUGCCUUCGGGAACUGUGAGACAGGUGCUGCAUGGCUGUCGUCAGCUCGUGUUGUGAAAUGUUGGGUUAAGUCCCGCAACGAGCGCAACCCUUAUCCUUUGUUGCCAGCGGUCCGGCCGGGAACUCAAAGGAGACUGCCAGUGAUAAACUGGAGGAAGGUGGGGAUGACGUCAAGUCAUCAUGGCCCUUACGACCAGGGCUACACACGUGCUACAAUGGCGCAUACAAAGAGAAGCGACCUCGCGAGAGCAAGCGGACCUCAUAAAGUGCGUCGUAGUCCGGAUUGGAGUCUGCAACUCGACUCCAUGAAGUCGGAAUCGCUAGUAAUCGUGGAUCAGAAUGCCACGGUGAAUACGUUCCCGGGCCUUGUACACACCGCCCGUCACACCAUGGGAGUGGGUUGCAAAAGAAGUAGGUAGCUUAACCUUCGGGAGGGCGCUUACCACUUUGUGAUUCAUGACUGGGGUGAAGUCGUAACAAGGUAACCGUAGGGGAACCUGCGGUUGGAUCACCUCCUUACCUUAAAGAA